rnacentral:rRNA from 1 species
UGUUUAAUUUUAUUAUUAAAUAAAACCUGCUCAAUGAAAAUUAAAUAGCCGCAGAAUUUUAACUGUGCUAAGGUAGCAUAAUCAUUAGAUUUUUAAUUAAAAUCUAGAAUGAAAGGUUUAACUUUUAUUUACUUUAUUAAAUUCACUUAAUUUAAAUUAUAUUAAAAAUAAAAAUAUUUUUAUAAUUUAAAAGACGACAAGACCCUAUUGAACUUAACUUUAGUUAAGCUGGGGCAGCUAAUUAAAAAUAAUUUUAAUUUAAUUAUUUAUAUAAAUACCUAAUAUUAUUAAAUAAAUAAGUUACCAUAGGGAUAACAGCGUAAUUUAUUAUAAAAGUUCUUAUUAAAUAUAAAGAUUGCGACCUCGAUGUUGAAUUAUUUACCUGAUAGAAGCAAAAUUUUAAAAAGGGAGUCUGUUCGACUUUUAAAUAUUUACA